rnacentral:rRNA from 1 species
CCUAGGGGUGGCUGCAGUGAGGAAUAUUGGUCAAUGGGCGGAAGCCUGAACCAGCCAAGUCGCGUGAGGGAAUAAGGCCCUACGGGUCGUAAACCUCUUUUGCCGGGGAGCAAAGGCGGGGACGUGUCCCGGCCCGGCGAGUACCCGGAGAAAAAGCAUCGGCUAACUCCGUGCCAGCAGCCGCGGUAAUACGGAGGAUGCGAGCGUUAGCCGGAUUUAGUGGGUUUGCAGGGUGCGUAGGCGGGCUUUUAAGUCAGCGGUAAAAAUUCGGUGUUGAACGCCGUAGUGCCGUUGAAACUGGGGUUCUUGAGUGAGCGAGAGGUAUGCGGAAUGCGUGGUGUAGCGGUGAAAUGCAUAGAUAUCACGCAGAACCCCGAUUGCGAAGGCAGCAUACCGGCGCUCAACUGACGCUGAGGCACGAAAGUGCGGGUAUCGAACAGGAUUAGAUACCCGGGUAGUC